GAGGAGGUCUACAACCCCCAGCUCUGUUACUACGGUGUGAUGGAGGGAUGGGAUAAGAGAGGAGAGGAGAGGAGAAGGUCUACAACCCCCAGCUCUGUUACUAAGGUGUGAUGGAGGGAUGGGAGGAGGAGAGGAGAGGAGAGGAGAGGAGAGGAGAGGAGAGGAGAGGAGAGGAGAGGAGAGGAGAGGAGAGGAGAGGAGAGGAGAGGAGAGGAGAGGAGAAGGUCUACAACCCCCAGCUCUGUUACUACGGUGAUGGAGGGAUGGGAGAGGAGAGGAGAGGGAGAAGGAUGUAAAUAAAUCCAACCCAAGAGGAGAUUCAGGACAACAAACAGAAAGAGUUGACAUAAUAUGGACAGAGAGAGGAACAGCAUCGGCAGCUAAAUGGUAGAAUUGAAUGAGAAAUAACAUUGUUUAAAGAGGACCAAAGAAGACUGAGCGGGAAGAGAAAGGGAUUUACACUGUAAAUCAUGUACGCAUUGUAAACAUACUGUAGGUCAACAUGUGAUUCAUACACAGGAAGUUGAUUCAUUACUAGAGAUGGGGAGAUAUGAAGAUGACUAUCGUGAUUUUUAUAGGAGACUUUAAGUCUUCCUGGAGAUAGUAUGGAAUAAACACUGUUUAUUCAGCUUAGAGAAAGUGUAAAGUGCAGAGCUUCAUAUUUUAGUCAGCUGCUUUCUGUUUUUAUUUUUUUAAUUUUUUUUAUGAAUCCCAGAAACCCAUUUUACUGAUGUAUGUAAAGAGAAAACGGUGUGAAAUGAUAUUGUCUUAUUAGGAGAGGGAACCAAUGGAGAGAGGAAAUGAGGAGAUGAGGAGGAGAUGAGCAAGAGGAGGAGAUGAGGAGGAGAGGAGGAGAUGAGGAGAUGAGGAGAGGAGGAGAUGAGGAGAGAUGAGGAGAUGAGGAGAGGAGGAGAGGAGGAGAUGAGGAGAGGAGGAGAGGAGGAGAUGAGGAGAUGAGGAGAGGAGGAGAGGAGGAGAUGAGGAGAGGAGGAGAGGAGGAGAUGAGGAGAUGAGGAGGAGAUGAGGAGAGGAGGAGAUGAGGAGAGGAGGAGAUGAGGAGGAGAUGAGCAAGAGGAGGAGAUGAGGAGGAGAGGAGGAGAUGAGGAGAUGAGGAGAGGAGGAGAGGGAGGAGAGAUGAGGAGAGGAGGAGAGGAUGAGAUGAGGAGAGGAGGAGGAGAUGAGGAGAUGAGGAGAUGAGGAGAGGAGGAGAGGAGGAAAUGAGGAGAUGAGGAGGAGAUGAGCAAGAGGAGGAGAUGAGGAGGAGAGGAGGAGAUGAGGAGAGGAGGAGAGGAG
ensembl:lncRNA